rnacentral:rRNA from 1 species
AACGAACGCUGGCGGCAUGCCUAACACAUGCCAGUCGAACGAGACCUUCGGGUCUAGUGGCGCACGGGUGCGUAACGCGUGGGAACCUGCCCUUAGGUUCGGAAUAACUCCCCGAAAGGGGUGCUAAUACCGGAUAAUGUCUUCGGACCAAAGAUUUAUCGCCUUUGGAUGGGCCCGCGUUGGAUUAGCUAGUUGGUAGGGUAAAAGCCUACCAAGGCGACGAUCCAUAGCUGGUCUGAGAGGAUGAUCAGCCACACUGGGACUGAGACACGGCCCAGACCCCUACGGGGGGCAGCAGUGGGGAAUAUUGGACAAGGGGCGAAAGCCUGAUCCAGCAAUGCCGGGGGAGUGAUGAAGGCCUUAGGGUUGUAAAGCUUUUUUCCCCGGGAUGAAAAUGACAGAACCGGGAAAAAAAGCCCGGGCUAACCCCGG